GUCCACGUAGCUUACAACAAAGCAUAGCACUGAAGAUGCUAAGAUGGCUGCUCCGCACCCCGAGGACA
rnacentral:tRNA from 1 species